UUGCGCUGCUUUAGUUAUCCCACUGGCUGAUUACUAUAUCAUUGCUGGAGUGAUCUAUCAGGCACCAGACUCGGGAUCUGUUAUAAACUCUAGAGUGCUUACUGCAGUGCAUGGCAUUCAGUCAGCUUUCAAUGAAGCUAUGUCAUACUGUCGAUAUCAUCCUUCCAAAGGGUAUUGGUGGCACUUCAAAGAUCAUGAAGAGCAAGAUAAAGUCAAACCUAAAGCCAAAAGGAAAGAAGAACCAAGCUCUAUUUUCCAGAGACAACAUGUGGAUACUUUACUCCUAGACCUUAGACAAAAAUUUCCACCCAAAUUUGUGCAGGGAAUGAG